GGGAAUUUUGGACAAUGGGCGCAAGCCUGAUCCAGCAAUGCCGCGUGAGUGAAGAAGGCCUUCGGGUUGUAAAGCUCUUUUGUCAGGGAAGAAACGGUGGGAGCUAAUAUCUCCCGCUAAUGACGGUACCUGAAGAAUAAGCACCGGCUAACUACGUGCCAGCAGCCGCGGUAAUACGUAGGGGGCUAGCGUUAUCCGGAAUUACUGGGCGUAAAGGGUGCGUAGGUGGUUUCUUAAGUCAGAGGUGAAAGGCUACGGCUCAACCGUAGUAAGCCUUUGAAACUGGGAAACUUGAGUGCAGGAGAGGAGAGUGGAAUUCCUAGUGUAGCGGUGAAAUGCGUAGAUAUUAGGAGGAACACCAGUUGCGAAGACGGCUCUCUGGACUGUAACUGACACUGAGGCACGAAAGCGUGGGGAGCAAACAGGAUUAGAUACCCUGGUAGUCCACGCCGUAAACGAUGAGUACUAGCUGUCGGAGGUUACCCCCUUCGGUGGCGCAGCUAACGCAUUAAGUACUCCGCCUGGGAAGUACGCUCGCAAGAGUGAAACUCAAAGGAAUUGACGG
rnacentral:rRNA from 1 species